GACGAACGCUGGCGGCGUGCUUAACACAUGCAAGUCGAACGGAAAGGCCCUGCUUUUGUGGGGUGCUCGAGUGGCGAACGGGUGAGUAACACGUGAGUAACCUGCCCUUGACUUUGGGAUAACUUCAGGAAACUGGGGCUAAUACCGGAUAGGAGCUCCUGCUGCAUGGUGGGGGUUGGAAAGUUUCGGCGGUUGGGGAUGGACUCGCGGCUUAUCAGCUUGUUGGUGGGGUAGUGGCUUACCAAGGCUUUGACGGGUAGCCGGCCUGAGAGGGUGACCGGCCACAUUGGGACUGAGAUACGGCCCAGACACCUACGGGAGGCAGCAGUGGGGAAUAUUGCACAAUGGGCGGAAGCCUGAUGCAGCAACGCCGCGUGCGGGAUGACGGCCUUCGGGUUGUAAACCGCUUUCGCCUGUGACGAAGCGUGAGUGACGGUAAUGGGUAAAGAAGCACCGGCUAACUAUGUG
rnacentral:rRNA from 1 species